rnacentral:rRNA from 1 species
UACGAAGGGGGCUAGCGUUGUUCGGAAUCACUGGGCGUAAAGCGCACGUAGGCGGAUGUGCCAGUCAGGGGUGAAAUCCCGGAGCUCAACUCCGGAACUGCCUCUGAUACAGCACGUCUUGAGUUCGAGAGAGGUGGGUGGAAUUCCUAGUGUAGAGGUGAAAUUCGUAGAUAUUCGGAAGAACACCAGUGGCGAAGGCGACUGACUGGACAAGUAUUGACGCUGAGGUGCGAAAGCGUGGGGAGCAAACAGG